rnacentral:rRNA from 1 species
UCCUACGGGAGGCAGCAGUGGGGAAUCUUGGACAAUGGGGGCAACCCUGAUCCAGCCAUGCCGCGUGUGUGAAGAAGGCCUUCGGGUUGUAAAGCACUUUCAGCAGGGAGGAAGGCUUACCCCUAAUACGGGUGAGUACUUGACGUUACCUGCAGAAGAAGCACCGGCUAAUUUCAUGCCAGCAGCCGCGGUAAUACGAAAGGUGCAAGCGUUAAUCGGAAUUACUGGGCGUAAAGCGCGCGUAGGCGGUGUGUUAAGUCGGAUGUGAAAGCCCAGGGCUCAACCUUGGAAUUGCAUCCGGAACUGUCAAGCUAGAGUGCAGGAGAGGAAGGUAGAAUUCCCGGUGUAGCGGUGAAAUGCGUAGAGAUCGGGAGGAAUACCAGUGGCGAAGGCGGCCUUCUGGACUGACACUGACACUGAGGUGCGAAAGCGUGGGUAGCAAACAGGAUUAGAUACCCUGGUAGUCCACGCCGUAAACGAUGUCGACCAGCCGUUGGGCGCCUAGCGCACUUUGUGGCGAAGUUAACGCGAUAAGUCGACCGCCUGGGGAGUACGGCCGCAAGGUUAAAACUCAAAUGAAUUGACGG